rnacentral:rRNA from 1 species
ACUGCUGCCUCCCGUAGGAGUAGGGGGAAUCUUCCACAAUGGACGCAAGUCUGAUGGAGCAACGCCGCGUGAGUGAAGAAGGCUUUCGGGUCGUAAAACUCUGUUGUUGGAGAAGAAUGGUCGGCAGAGUAACUGUUGUCGGCNNGACGGUAUCCAACCAGAAAGCCACGGNUAACUACNUGCCAGCAGCCGCGGUAAUAC